rnacentral:rRNA from 1 species
AUACGGAGGAUCCGAGCGUUAUCCGGAUUUAUUGGGUUUAAAGGGUGCGCAGGCGGCCAUUUAAGUCAGCGGUUAAAUCGUGGGGCUCAACCCCAUUCUGCCGUUGAUACUGGGUGGCUUGAUUGCGGUCGAGGUUGGCGGAAUUCGUUGUGUAGCAGUGAAAUGCAUAGAUAUGACGAAGAACACCGAUUGCGUAGGCAGCUGACCAGAUCGCAAAUGACGCUCAUGCACGAAAGUGCGGGGAUCGAACAGGAUUAGAUACCCUGGUAGUCCGCACAGUAAACGAUGAAUACUUGUUUUCGGCGAUAUAAUGUCGGAGGCAAAGCGAAAGCGAUAAGUAUUCCACCUGGGGAGUACGCCGGCAACGGUGAAACUCAAAUGAAUUGGCGGGG